rnacentral:rRNA from 1 species
UACGGGGGGGGCAAGCGUUGUUCGGAAUUAUUGGGCGUAAAGAGCUCGUAGGCGGUCUGUCGCGUCUGCUGUGAAAUCCCGAGGCUCAACCUCGGGCUUGCAGUGGGUACGGGCAGGCUAGAGUGCGGUAGGGGAGAAUGGAACUCCUGGUGUAGCGGUGGAAUGCGCAGAUAUCAGGAAGAACACCGAUGGCGAAGGCAGUUCUCUGGGCCGUAACUGACGCUGAGGAGCGAAAGCGUGGGGAGCGAACAGG